GACGAACGCUGGCGGCGUGCUUAACACAUGCAAGUCGAACGGAGUGGCGCACGGGUGAGUAACGCGUAAACAACCUGCCCUUCAGAGGGGGACAACAGGUGGAAACGACUGCUAAUACCGAAUACUGAAGGAGGGGAUUGCGUCGGAUUCGCUAGUUGGCGGGGUAACGGCCCACCAAGGCGAUGAUCAGUAGCCGGUCGUGUAGGGUGAACGGCCACAUUGGGACUGAGACACGGCCCAGACUCCUACGGGAGGCAGCAGUGGGGAAUCUUCCGCAAUGGACGAAAGUCUGACGGAGCAACGCCGCGUGAGUGAUGACGGCCUUCGGGUUGUAAAGCUCUGUUAAGCGGGACGCGGUACCGGAAUAGAAAGCCACGGCUAACUACGUGCCAGCAGCCGCGGUAAUUC
rnacentral:rRNA from 1 species